AAACAUUGUCUCUUGCAAUAUAAAUAAUAAGAGAUACAUCCUGCCCAGUGAAAUUUCAACGGCCGCGGUAUCCUGACCGUGCUAAGGUAGCAAAAUAAAUUGCCUUCUAAUUGAUGGCGAGAAUGAAUGGACACACGAAAACUAAACUGUUUCUUAAAAAUAUCUAAAAUUUUAUUUUUAGGUGAAAAAGCCUAAAUAAAACUAAAAGACAAAAAGACCCUAUAGAGCUUCAUAAUUAACUUAUUUAUACACCUAUAAAUUACUUAUUUUGUUGGGGCGACAAAGGAUUAUAUAAAACAUCCUAUACCUUAUAAGAAAAAUUAUUCAAAUCAAUGACACUCUAAGAUAUUAAAGGUAUAAGCUACCUUAGGGAUAACAGGCUUAUUUUUCUUGAGAGCCCAUAUCGACAGAAAAGUUUGGCACCUCGAUGUUGGCUUAGAAUUACCUAAUAAAGCAAAAAUUAUAUACGGUAGGUUUGUUCAACCUUUAAAAUUCUACGUGAUCUGA
rnacentral:rRNA from 1 species